UACGGAGGGGGCUAGCGUUGUUCGGAAUUACUGGGCGUAAAGCGUGCGCAGGCGGUUUUGUAAGUCUGUCGUGAAAGCCCCGGGCUCAACCUGGGAAUUGCGAUGGAGACUGCAAGGCUUGAAUCUGGCAGAGGGGGGUAGAAUUCCACGUGUAGCAGUGAAAUGCGUAGAGAUGUGGAGGAACACCGAUGGCGAAGGCAGCCCCCUGGGUCAAGAUUGACGCUCAUGCACGAAAGCGUGGGUAGCAAACAGG
rnacentral:rRNA from 1 species